CCACAGCAACCCGAGCCACUGCAGUUGGAAUCUUAACACACUGCACCACGACGGGAACCCCCAACACAGUUUUUUUUGGUAAGAGUAAGCAGGAUCCGUAAGGAUUUUCGCCAAAAGGAACAGCUUGGGAUCUUGGAAGCACAUGGAAUGUACACACACAAUCCAGACAGGAAAGCUAUCAUAUCGAAACGUUCAGAAUCUGAUUAAUUUUAGAAAAAGAAGAAAAAAUAGUAACACAUCCUGCCUCUGCUGCUGACCCUGUUAGAGGGUCACAAGCACUCCCAGACCUGCCCUGGCCACCAGCACGGAAGGGGACGGUCUGAAGCUUUGAUUUGCCUCCAGCCCACACCUCCCCGCAGACGGGAUGGUCGGGACGAGCGCCCUCAGGCAGGCUGGCCGGGCGGGAAGCAAGAGCCUCCUCAGCGUCACCUCCUCACCCGAUGGUCUCAACAUUUGUGUCCAACGCCAGUGGACCCAUGAAUUCUCUACCCUCUUCCCGUGGCCUGCCUCUCUCUUCUCAAGCCAACAGCACACCACGGUGACAGGAAACUCCUAUCAGCCACUAACUCUUCCAGUCUUUUUCAGCUUUGCAUUGGUUUUCUCAGGCGGUUUGUUUUCCCAAAUGUAUUUUGGAGUCAGCUGGUCUAUUUCCCUGAAAAAGUGCCUACCGAGAUCUGGAUGGUGACUGUGUGAUCACUAGAGCGACAUUAGGAACACUGACAGGGUAACUGGAGUGUCCUCUGAUCCGUGACCAUGCCAUUAUUCCCCAUCUUUUAGGGCUUCUGUAAUUUCGUCCAGCAGUGGUCUUGUGUGUGUCUUUUCCUAGACUUACUCUUGAGUGUCGUGUUUGGUGUUGCUAUUGUAGGCGGGGUAUUUUUGUUCUGUUUCCCAGCUCUCUGCUCCCGGGAUAGCAUACAGUUGAUUUUUGUAUGCCAGCCAUUAUCCAGUGGCCUUGCUGAGCUCCCUAUGGGGUCUCAGGAAGUUUCCACAAAGCUCCAAAAACCACUGUCCCAUCACCUGCAAAGGAACUCAUUGUCUACCUCUUUCCUUCCACUCGUAGGCCGGUCAUUUACGUUUCUUCGGGCACAGCUGGAACUUCCCAUAAUUUACAGAAGCACGUGAGGCCAGUAGCUCCCUCACGUUGGUCUCAGUCUCUGGGAAGGUGGUACUAUUUCACCUCUCGCUGUGGUGUUGGCUCUGGCUGGUUUUUUAAUUGGUAUUUUUUCACAGAUUCGGGGUUAGGGCCCACACGCCAAGGCAGCUCGACCAGGCGCCUGAGGAGGUGAGAGCCAUGGGCCUCAGGGACUCGCCCCUGAGGGUCCAGCGAUCGCAUUCAUUCCUUCGCAUCUCAGCAGGUCCUAGGCAAGCUCCUAGACGUGCUCUGCAGUGGAUGCAGGAAACGGCUCCUUCAGUAACAGGUGGCAUUUUAUUCUCCAUCUGCCUGCUUUUUGGCUUUCUUCUGUUACCAGUGUUUUUGCUUUAUUUUUGUUUUAUGUCAGAAAGAAGCCGUUCGGCAAACGCGUAACUUAGCGUCGGCGUCUUUCUUGAGUAACAGUCUUUACAUGUUCUAUCCUGUGAGAUUCCAGACCCUUGAAAUCAUUUAAUAAGUAGAAUGUUUUUCUUCCUGCAAAUAUAUCCCCUUAAAUGUUUAUUCUAGCAUAAAAGCUUUCCUAUGGCAUCAAAUAAACACCAUAGAAUAAUUUCAAUUGAGAAUAGAAAUGCUGUGCUUAUUCUCGUCCGGCCGGUGACUAUAUUUAUGCGUUUAAUAAAUACUUCUGAAGUGGUUCCUAUAUCGUGAGCCAGACACUCUGAUAACUUGGCUAAACAACUUUGUUUUACUGCCUUUAAUUUACAAACGUGAUUAGAUUUUUCUUCCUUGAAAUUAUAUAUGCAAGCCUCUAUUAACUCUAUAUGCAUAUACAUAAUUAUAGAUAAUUACCUUCGGUUCCUAAAAAGUAAUUAAUUAUUAAACUGCAUUGGCCUUUCGAUGAGUCUAGAUAAGAGAUGCGGGAGCUUUAAGAAGAACAUGUUGUCUGUUUGGUGUACUGUAUAAUAACUUAUGAAAAUUUUACGUGUCUCCCCUAAAUUAUAUCCACAAUGUAAAAAAAAAAAAAAAAAAAAAA